rnacentral:rRNA from 1 species
UCAGUCGAGCGGCGAACGGGUGAGUAACGCGUGGAUAACCUGCCCAGAGGUGGGGGAUAACCCGGGGAAACUCGGGCUAAUACCGCAUGAUACCGAAAGGUCAAAGGGGGCUCGCAAGGGCUCUCGCCAUAGGAGGGGUCCGCGUCCGAUUAGCUAGUUGGUAGGGUAAUGGCCUACCAAGGCGACGAUCGGUAGCCGGCCUGAGAGGGUGAUCGGCCACACUGGAACUGAGACACGGUCCAG